GACGAACGCUGGCGGCGUGCUUAACACAUGCAAGUCGAACGGAAAGGCCCUGCUUUUGUGGGGUGCUCGAGUGGCGAACGGGUGAGUAACACGUGAGUAACCUGCCCUUGACUUUGGGAUAACUUCAGGAAACUGGGGCUAAUACCGGAUAGGAGCUCCUGCUGCAUGGUGGGGGUUGGAAAGUUUCGGCGGUUGGGGAUGGACUCGCGGCUUAUCAGCUUGUUGGUGGGGUAGUGGCUUACCAAGGCUUUGACGGGUAGCCGGCCUGAGAGGGUGACCGGCCACAGUGGGACUGAGAAACGGCCAAGACUCCUACGGGAGGCAGCAGUGGGGAAUAUUGCACAAUGGGCGGAAGCCUGAUGCAGCAACGCCGCGUGCGGGAUGACGGCCUUCGGGUUGUAAACCGCUUUCGCCUGUGACGAAGCGUGAGUGACGGUAAUGGGUAAAGAAGCACCGGCUAACUACGUG
rnacentral:rRNA from 1 species